rnacentral:rRNA from 1 species
GAUGAACGCUGGCGGCGUGCCUAAUACAUGCAAGUCGAGCGAACAGAUAAGGAGCUUGCUCCUUUGACGUUAGCGGCGGACGGGUGAGUAACGCGUGGGUAACCUACCUAUAAGACUGGGAUAACUUCGGGAAACCGGAGCUAAUACCGGAUAAUAUUUCGAACCGCAUGGUUCGAUAGUGAAAGAUGGUUUUGCUAUCACUUAUAGAUGGACCCGCGCCGUAUUAGCUAGUUGGUAAGGUAACGGCUUACCAAGGCGACGAUACGUAGCCGACCUGAGAGGGUGAUCGGCCACACUGGAACUGAGACACGGUCCAGACUCCUACGGGAGGCAGCAGUAGGGAAUCUUCCGCAAUGGGCGAAAGCCUGACGGAGCAACGCCGCGUGAGUGAUGAAGGUCUUCGGAUCGUAAAACUCUGUUAUUAGGGAAGAACAUACGUGUAAGUAACUGUGCACGUCUUGACGGUACCUAAUCAGAAAGCCACGGCUAACUACGUG